rnacentral:rRNA from 1 species
AGACCCGAAACCCGGUGAUCUAGCCAUGGGCAGGUUGAAGGUUGGGUAACACUAACUGGAGGACCGAACCGACUAAUGUUGAAAAAUUAGCGGAUGACCUGUGGCUGGGGGUGAAAGGCCAAUCAAACCGGGAGAUAGCUGGUUCUCCCCGAAAGCUAUUUAGGUAGCGCCUCGUGAAUUCAUCUCCGGGGGUAGAGCACUGUUUCGGCUAGGGGGCCAUCCCGGCUUACCAACCCGAUGCAAACUGCGAAUACCGGAGAAUGUUAUCACGGGAGACACACGGCGGGUGCUAACGUCCGUCGUGAAGAGGGAAACAACCCAGACCGCCAGCUAAGGUCCCAAAGUCAUGGUUAAGUGGGAAACGAUGUGGGAAGGCCCAGACAGCCAGGAUGUUGGCUUAGAAGCAGCCAUCAUUUAAAGAAAGCGUAAUAGCUCACUGGUCGAGUCGGCCUGCGCGGAAGAUGUAACGGGGCUAAACCAUGCACCGAAGCUGCGGCAGCGAACGUAUCACUUAAAGCGAUUCAGCGGGUUACGAUUGACGGAGCGAAGCGACGUCAAAGCGUAUACAAAGUCGAGUCGGUUUAAGGAUACGUUCGUUGGGUAGGGGAGCGUUCUGUAAGCCUGUGAAGGUGUGUCGUGAGGCAUGCUGGAGGUAUCAGAAGUGCGAAUGCUGACAUAAGUAACGAUAAAGCGGGUGAAAAGCCCGCUCGCCGGAAGACCAAGGGUUCCUGUCCAACGUUAAUCGGGGCAGGGUGAGUCGACCCCUAAGGCGAGGCCGAAAGGCGUAGUCGAUGGGAAACGGGUUAAUAUUCCCGUACUUGGUGUUACUGCGAAGG